UACGUAGGGUGCAAGCGUUGUCCGGAUUUAUUGGGCGUAAAGAGCUCGUAGGCGGCUCGUCGCGUCGACCGUGAAAACCCGCGGCUCAACUGUGGGCGGGCAGCUGAUACGGGCAGGCUGGAGUUCGGUAGGGGAGACUGGAAUUCCUGGUGUAGCGGUGAAAUGCGCAGAUAUCAGGAGGAACACCGGUGGCGAAGGCGGGUCUCUGGGCCGAUACUGACGCUGAGGAGCGAAAGCGUGGGGAGCGAACAGG
rnacentral:rRNA from 1 species